rnacentral:lncRNA from 1 species
AUAAAACAGCCUUCCUACGUCAGGUUUUCAGGCUUGAAUUGGAUAUAAAAAUGAAAACCGCUCCAAAAGGAAGAAGAGAAAGAAAACAGUUGUAUUAUUGAAUAAGCAUUAAAGCAGAAUCUGAUGCAUGUCACUUGCCAUGUAGAAUGGAAUUGCAAAAACAGAAAGAAAUCUCCCUCUUUUACAUGGUGAAGCAAAUACAUCUCCUUACAUCAUGUUCUCAAGAGUCCUGAGCUGUCUAUAAGAAGUCUGACAAAUCUGAGACCAGCCUGCUGUGAGGAAACCCAAGCCACAGGAAGAUGCCACCAGGAGGCAAUCUGGUCAACCAUUCCAACUGAGCCCAGACUUGGAAUCAUCCCAGUCCAUAAAAUCUGCAAAGUCACAUAGCCAGAGCACACUCAGAAGAAGAAAUCUUGACCUGAGAUGACCAUGAGAACAAAGAUCCUCCUCUCCUGGAAACAAAGGACCUGGACACGACUGGAACCUAAAAGUCAGGCUCUUAUCAGAAGUGAGGGGUUCCUCAUUCAGGAAGAUCUGGUGUUAAAAUUCCUUCCCCACGCUAUCAUAAAUGUUUAGAACCCUAUCAUAAAUGUUCAGAACUCUGUCCUAUAUGUUUAGAACCUUACCAUAAAUGUUUGAAGCCCACCAAUCAAAACCUGUCCCACCAACAUUUCUGCCUACCAGCUUGUUCUCCUUAACCUCUUAAAUUUCACCCAAAUCCUGAAUUGGGGACACAUAUCUGAAGGCACAUGCCCCUGUCUUCCUGCUGAUUGAUUUCACAGAAUAAAG